CAGUUUCGACACCACACUAGCCUUUGCGGAUGAAGACUAAAGGAGUCAAACGUCUAGCUCAUGGACGUUAAAAGUAGCGCUCUAGGGAGGCAGCCCUACUUCGAGUCGCACAUUUGUGCAAUUUUGAGACUUUUUAUUUUUAUUUCAACUUUCAGUUUUUGGUUAUUGUAAUAGACUUAUUAGUGGUUUGUUGCACCUUUUUGUAACUAUUUUUGGACGAUUUUUUCUAUUUUUACUUCGUUAUUUUUAUUUUCUGAGUUUAAUUUUGUGAAAGUUGGAUAAUAUCUUGUUUUUGACAUGCAGCUCUACUGACUUUGCAGCAAAUCAGGUCAGAAAAUUUGCACGGACAUCCCAAGUGUUUUUCCAUUCUCUUGACACCCUACAUCUACUUUGAAGUAUCGACUGCAAGGAGCUUUCAUUUGAAGGUCAUGGUCUUGUACCUUGAGGCAGGUGCCUAAAUUUCAAUCCUACCCGAAGGCUGUGAGUAUGGGAUGUCUACAAGGGGGAGCUUUCUCAACUUUAAACUCUUACUUUUUGUUAAUUUUUUUUUGUUUAUGUUGUUUUGUUGUGAAUUCCUGUUUCCAUGCUUUAUUCUAUGUUGCAUGCUAUAUUCUGUUCUACAUUGAGGGCAAUGUAGAGUUCAAGUGUGGGGGAAGGAUUUACAUGUUUAUUGAGUCAUUUAUUGAAAAUUCAUAAAAAUUGAAAAAUGUCUAAAAUUUAAAAAAAAUUUCGUUUUGCUUUUUGAGUCUUUUGUUUUGUUUUUGAGUCUUAGAAGCCCUUAACUGUCUAUGAUGAUUGAUAAUCUCUAAAAUUAUGGAUAAGAUCACAAGAUUGAGAUGAUUUCUAACUGAUAUUCGUUGGUUAAUUGAAAUGAAUAGAAAUCAUGUGAAAUAUAUGAUUUGAAUCUCUGGUACAGAAAUGAGCAUGCUAAGACAAGUUGUAAUUCAUAUGAACCCUAAAUGUGAGCUCUCGAGCCUAUAUAUGUGCUAUUCUUUUUGAGUGAUAAUUGAAAUAUUCUUAUUCGUUUUCUUGGCUAUAAUUUUUCGAAAACCUCAUCAUUCUUUCAAUUUGAUUGAUUGCUCACCAUAGCUUUUAAUGAACUCUAGAUGACUAGAACUCACUCUUGUGGACUUUCAAAACUUUUAAUCAUAAAACGCUUUGAUUUUGGAAAGGAUAAAUGGAACUUUUUAGGAUGAUCACCAUUGCCAAACAAGCUUGUGUCCUUAUUUGUGUGCGCUGCACACCCCUUAGUUUAAACCCCUUUUGAGCCUUCGUUGAGCCUUUUCUUUCAUCACCCAUGCAAUUUU
rnacentral:lncRNA from 1 species